GCAAGCAUGAGUUCCUGAUAGUUGAAAACGGUGCCUACCCCCAGAGGCGUUAUGAGGAUUAACGGAAGUAAUGCAAAUAAAAGUACGUUAAUGCAAACUAAACAUAAAAUAAUGCCCCCCCCCAAGUCCCUGGUACAAAGAAGACACUUCCCCCAGGGUUUUAAAAUAUCAAAGUGACAAGAUCCCUUUUCUAGUUAAAAGCACAUUUUGCAAAUACUUCUUGCCGUCCCAGUGGAAAAGCCCCCAGGCCUGGGAUUCCAGGAAAGACCCGCGGGCUACGCCCGUCCUUCCUGGGACUCCGCUGGGCUUGGGCCGAAAACAGAAGCUUGUUUCCUCCGCCCCUGAGCAAGGCCUUCCCCAGGGCUCCUCCUCCGCAGCGAUCCCAGCCGCGGCUCCGAGCCCCGCCUCUCCCGGGCGCCUUCACCGAGCAGGCCCCGCCCCUCCACUCCGGCGCCGCUUCCCGGCGGGUAUCGGCGCCCGGACAAGGCGGCCCUCUUUCCAAGGCGGCAGACGCGGCAGUGCGUCCCUGCGCCCCGGCCGCCACCUGCGCCCCCGCGGCGGGUGCGCGCCUCGCAAACCUCCCGGCGGAGGAGUGGGAACCUGGGUUAGGAAGCGGGGCAGGCAGGUGGCGGGGACGAGGACGUUGCGAGCCGGGAGCCCGGCCACGUGGAUUCUCAGAUCUCCUUGUGGUUUCGUUUCAACACGCAGCCGUUGGGUGUCUGGGUGUUCGCGCAGGUGGCAUACGUGAUUCGAGAGGUCGGAAUGCAGAAGUAGCAGGAGGGCUUUGUGGGCCAGGCCCUGAGGACAUGGGUACCACAUGACAGCCCGACUCGGAGAGGUCACGAGAAGCGCCGAAUGCACGACACUGUGACACGUGUUUUAGUGAGAUGCGUGCAGGGUACAGCAGUGAAAGGGAGGGAUUCUUUCUGGAGCGUCUUCAGGGGGGCCUAAGGCGAGUUUCAGUUUGCGGGGUGGAUAAGCACGUAGCAGAGCAUCCCGUUGAGAGGAAACAGGGUCUUUAAAGCUGCAGAGGGGACCUGGAGGGGGUGUGAGCCAAGGAGCCCGAAGGGGGCUUGGUGCCCCACCAUCUCCUUCAGAGCCACCUUAAAUAGCAAUCUCAGCAGAAACGGCGAGCUUGCUCUGUGGGCUCCACUUCAAGCAGGAGGGGAGGAAGAUGGUGUGAUGCCAGCCAAGGGCCAAGCAAAUGGAAAGCCCGUGGUAUGAUCUGUCUGCCUGUUGACCUCGCUAGCCCACGCCUCCACCGCUGAAGCUGAUUUCAUCUGCAGGGGCCAUGUUGUUUACUGACUUAACCAUCUCUUUCGGUGCCGUUGUCUCAACAUGGCACUUUUAGAGUUCCUUUGACAGACCUCUCCCCUCCCAUUCUCGUCUGCCUGGCGCUGAUGCUGCAGGCCAGUUGGGCUGGGAUUGGAUUCAACCACAGCUGGUUCAGAGCCAAGGAGGCCACACACGCAUGCCUAGGACUUCAUGGAAAGAAAAGCUUCCUGCCUUUUCCUUGGAGGACGCCAGCAGACGCUCAGUGUGGAACGAGGCUGCUUCUACGUCAAAGGGGGAGCCCGGGGCUGAGAGCACGGGUGUGGGCGCUGGGUGGAAGCCUCACCAUGGAAGGCAGAUCGGGGAGCCGGACAGAGCCAGGGCGACACCAGGCCACGGGCGACAGCGUUUGAUUUGCUGCACGAUCCCCUGCUAGUCACAGGCCUUGAUUUUUUAGUGCCCUUUAUUAUACAGACUAGUUUUAACCGGAUUUUCUGUGACUUGCAACAGAAAGAGUCCUAACUGAUCUCAGUGGGUGGGAUCUGUUCCCUGUCAAAGAGGUGAGGCGUCUCAGGCAAGGGGAAAGGGGAACGUCCUCCCAGUGCGCAGCCACUGCGGCGAAGCCUGUCGGAUAACAAGGGGGAAAGUUCCCACGUCCAGAGUACUGUUUGGCGUAACGUUUCCCAAAGUUUUUUUUUCCUUAGCGGGUCAGUAAACGUGUACGAGCCACUGGCGUCAGCGCUGUGCCGUGUUGGGGAGACGCCGAGCAAGCAUGGUGGCCCCGCCUUAGCGGAACUUGCGUUCCAGCCGGAAGUACAGACAUUAUGCUGGUUAUAGUGGGAUGACUAUAUGUCCCUCCUGGCUGCAGGAGGGACAGAAGACGCUUGGAAGCUAUGACGGGCGGCGCACAGUUUGGGAGGAGGGGUGAAGGAAGGCUUCCUUGAGAAAGCGACAUUUAAGCAGGGCCUAAAAGGUGAGUAAAGAUUUAAUUAGUCAGUGGGGGAGGGGCUUGGGGGAAUGUUCUAGGUAGAGAGAAUAGCACGUAUUUGGCUAUAGGACUUCUAAGGGCUUUUAAAGUGUAAAGGUGCACUGUGAACCCCAAGAGGGGCUGAAGUGUGCAGUCCCCAAAUGUAUUGACAUAGAGUUCCGAUUUAUUAGAGAAGCAUCUUGUAAGACUUAGAAAAAACAGCAUGUGUUCAGGAAUGAAGUGUUCUGAGGCCAGAGGGAACAUGGUCCUGAUUCAGGUAAAGACCUAUGUAUGAGAAUAGAGGGUGAUGACAGAUAGAUAGAUAGAUAGAUAGAUAGAUAGAUAGAUAGAUAGAUGAUAGAUAGAUAGAUAGAUGACAGCUAGGUAAUAGAUAGAUGACAGAUAGGGAGAUGGAUAGAUAGAUGAUAGAUUGGUAGUAGAUAGAGGGAUAGAUAGGGAGAUGAAUAGAUAAUGGAUAGAUAUAUAGAUGGAUGAUAAAUAGAUGACAGGUAAUAGAUGAUAGAUAGGGAGAUGGAUAGAUGAUAGAUAGAUGGAUAGAGAUGAUAGAUGAUAGAUAGAUAGAUAGAUAGAUAAAUGAAUGAGAUGGAUGGAUGGAGGGAGGGAGGGAGGGAGGAAUAUUAGACGAGGCCCAGAAGGGCCAGGAUGCGGAGGGAGUUGAACGUCAGGAUAAACACUUUGUUGGUGUCUGAGUGUAGAUUCAUGGCUGAGGUUUAUGUGAGAAGCUUGGGAGCAGAAAGGAGGUUACAGUGAUCCCGGCAUGAGAUUCUAGGCUAAAGUGGGGACCAAGGUGGGAGAAAAAGAAAUACGUUUCAGAGGCGCCCCAGAGGAGGGACAGGCAGUGAUUAAUGAGAGCCAUCUAGAGUGACAAGAAAGGCAGGAAGAAGCGGAGCGUAGCCUCUGGGUUUCACGAGGAAGAGGAGCUCCAGGAAGAAACGGAAAACCUCUGUCUCGCUCGUCACCACUAGUUCACUGCACAACGGCAGGAAAAGUCCAGGCCACCAAGUUCCGAAGCAUUUGCCAAAUCCUCUGCAGGGCUAGUGAGCCCGGGGCAGCCGGGAGAGAAGCCGAAAAUUAGGGUAAAUAGAAGCUCAGAGAUUUUCGGUGGGUUUUAAUCAUCUGUGUCAUCAUGACUUCGGCCUCGAGAGCUGCCUCUGUUCUUGUUCACUGGUGACAGGAGUGACAUGGCCUCCUUCAAACUCGUGCAGCCACAUUUCAUUAAGAGGAGAGAGAGAGAGAAAUGUCCUUUCAGGUCAGGAUGUCAAAGAGAUGAAAAAGAGGAGAUAUUUAAGAGAAAAAUAACCAGCAGUACACCAUUCAUCUCUCUCUCUCUCCCUCUUUCAUCUCAUCUGACCUGAUACCCUGAACAUCCGUGAUAAGAGACGUGGGCGCAAGUGGCACCGGGAUUAAUACAGCCGCACACAAGUGAGGUUUUCACCCCGUAACCACCAUCCUUUCCUUUGGGGAAUCAGGGCUCCAAGUGUCAGGCGCUGUGUGCGGUUCCCGGAGGGUCACAGCGGGACGCCUGGUGCAGCUGCUGCGGAUUCAGAAGCAUCUUUCAGAAACCGUGACUGGAGUCCUUUGACUGUUCCUGGUACUUACCUGCGAGGCCGAUGCCACCCUUGACCUGGGCGUUUCCUCCGGUCGGCCCUUGUCCUGAUGCAUCACCUGGACCAGACUCAUGGCCCCCAGAGAAGCCCAGUAGGGCUUUGCUGGGACCAGAAUGAGCAUUCAUACAUCAUCCCAUUCAGGAAGGUUCCCGGAGCAUCUCCUCUGCACCAGACACGGUGCUCUGCGUGGGGCCAGACAGACACAGAGCAGCCGCCACCGUCGUGCAUAAGCCUGUGACCAGCCCUCCGGGGGCUCAGACGGGGCUGGGCACACAGGAAGGGGACCGGGACUGGGCUCUAGGGCGGCCGAGACAAAAUUCCACAGACAGGGGGCUUAAGCGACAGAAAUGUACCUACUCACAGCUCUGGAGGCUGGGAGUCUAAAACCAAGGCAGGUGUCAGGAGGAGGUGACACUUGACCUUAAAGAGUGAGGAUGGGACUUCCCUGGUGGCGCAGUGGUUAAGGAUCUGCCUGCCAAUGCAGGGGACACGGGUUCGAGCCCUGGUCUGGAAAGAUUCCACGUGCCGCGGAGCAACUAAGCCUGUGCGCCACAACUGCUGAAGCCCGCGCACCUAGAGCCCGUGCUCUGCGACAAGAGAAGCCACCACAAUGAGAAGCCCGUGCACCGCAACAAAGACCCAAUGCAGCCAAAAAUAAAUAAAUAAAUUAAUUAAAAAAAAAAAAAAAGAAUGAGGAGGAAUCUGAAACGUGCAGAAAGAUAUCCAGGUGGAGAGAGCCAUGUGAGCCUAUGACCUCAUUAGAGGGGUUAAAAAAUAACAGGACAGGCCUGGCCGCUGACAUCAGGGAUUGUCAAGGUCAUGCUCACUUCUGUAGGAAUGACGAUAUAAUAAUCACUGAAUCCUAAUGACUGUUUACUAUGUGCCGGGCACACUGGUAUGAGCCGUAUGUGAAUUUUCUCUUUGAACUCCAGGCAGCCUAACGAGGCCAUGAAGGACGUGACUUUCCCUGCACAGACGAGGAAGCUUAGCCCUGGAGAAUUCAGUGAUGUGCCCGAGGUCACACAGCUGGCAGCCCUCAGCCCCGGGCUGUCCCCGCAGCCCAGGCCCUACCCCUCCCGCUCGCCGACGUGGGGUAGGGAGUGUGCAAGUGCUCGUGUGGUGGCUGAGCUCCUAAAACACACGCAUUCUCAGACCCUGCUCCCAGAAAUGCUGGCGAGAGGCCAUCACUCUACUUUCAGAGACUUCCGGGGCGGUUCGGAUGGGAAACAACGACAGAGGAGCUCUGAGCUUUGCAGGGUGGAUUCUGUCCUGAGCCGCUCCAGAGCUUUGCUGUCCUUGCAGUUCGCAUCUCAGUAGGAAGAAUGUCAGGCGGAACGUAAAAGGCAGGGCUUCUAAGUCUGGCCCUGCUGCCAGCCAACUGUCUGAUUUUGGACGAGUCCUGCCUCUUUGGGUUUUAAUUCUUUGUGCGUCAGAGCAGGGGGUGUGGGGCGGGACAGAUGACUCCUGAGAUGGCCUCAGGCUUUGUCAUGCAACAGUUCUGCUGAGCAGUGGCAUUAGGAGAUGGCAGAUUCAGUCAUUGAAGCUUAGAUGUCUGUAUUCAUUUUCUCGGGCUACAGAAACAAAGUACCCUAGACUGGGGGCUUCAACGACAGAACUUGACCGUCUCACAGCUCUGGAGGUUGGAGUCCAAAAUCAAGGUGCUGGCAGGGUUGCUUCCCUCUGAGCUGGGAGGGGGAAGCCGCUCCGGGCCCCUCCCCCAGGCCCUGGGGGUUUGCUGCGCAUCCUUGAUGUCCCUUGUGUUGUAGGAGCAUCACCUCAGUCCCCGCCUCCAUCUUCACACGCUGUUCUUGUGUGUGUGUGUGUGUGUGUGUGUGUGUGUGUGCGCGCGCGCGCGCGCGCGCGCGCGCGCACACAUCUCUCCCUUUUAUCAGGGUACUGGUCAUAUCAGAGGAGGUGGCACCCGCCCUAAUCCAGUAUGACUAAUUAUAUCUGCAAUGACCUUAUUUCCAAAUAAGGUCACAUUCUGAGGUCUUGGGGGUUAAGGCUUCAACAUAUGAAUUUUUAGAGGAUUCAGUUCAACACAUAACAAGGUCCGAGGGAAAAACGCCACUAAAAUGAGCCAAAGUCACUUGAAAUUGAGUUAGGUUUCUGAUCAGUCAGGAAUAAUUGUUGCAUACCAGAGAGUCCACUCAGGCCAGUUUAGGGUGGAAAGGGAUUUAUUAAAGGAUGCUUGCUAACUGCAGAGGGGCCACCACCUCAGGAAGGACACCCGCUUUGUGCGGUGGUGUGGCUCCCAGGACACGGCCGCUGCUGGUGUAGGAUCUGGCCCCACCCCCGGUGCAGCGCGCAGAGUCCCACACACAAGUGUCUCAUGCUCUCUUAGUGGAAUAAUUUGGAAGAACUACGUUGAAAUGGAAAAUGUGCAUUCCUUUCAUUCAGCAGUUCCACUCAUGAUUUUUCCCCCUAAGGAAAUAAUUCAGUGAACGCCCAGACAUAUCUUUGUAAAUACGUCUGUUUAUCAGAGUGCCGCUUAUAUGAACCAAGACACCUCACUAUCCAUCAGUGGUAGAUGGGUUAAAUAAAACAUGAUGCAAGUGUGCCCAGCGUGAGGCUACGUUAAGUGUAAUGAUAUAAAUCUGUGGUUUUCAGCUCGGGUCAGAUCCAAAGGCCACCCCUUCUAUAAUAAAUGUCAGACUCAAAUGUCCCCUUUCUAUAACAAAUGUUUAUAAUGCUCCCCUUACUAUCCUGAAAUGAAAUUCAUAGAUAAUAUAACCUAUAUUAUAUUAAAAUAGUUAUUAUAUAAAUAUAUUAAAAUAAAUAUAUUAUAUAUUAUAAAAAUAUAAUUUUUUAAUCAAUAUAAUGACACAAUGACUCAUACACACAAAUUAAAAAAAUCAAUAUAUUGCCUUAAUUGUAACAUAAAAGAGAAAUAAAGGGAGAAGAAUUGGUAAUGAAUUGUUUCAAUAUGUAAACACACAGGCAUGGGUACACGUGGAGACACAUGGAAGGUCAAGGUCGGCCCCUAAGGGAAUCCCCACCAACGACCCGGGCAGGAGGCAGACCCUUCAGCUGCGGGUGCCAGGAGUUCAGAUCUUCUAGCUGCAUCGUUAUGGAUGGUGGGGUUUCCCAGAAUGAGCAAAGCGAGGUACAAUCCACCCUCGAUAUCCCUCCGUGUUCCUGGAAUAUGUGGUACAUGUUAAAACCAUGCAAAAUUACUUGUGUCUAAAUUAAAAUGAAGUUUGGAUCUUAGAUUAUUCUAAAUAAGCUUUUCAACUACACGAUAUUUCAAAAUUAUGAGGGCUACUUCUCCACGUGGGGGGUUGCCUCGCACAAUAUAGGACACUCAGCAUCCCUGGACCCCCAGCUGCUCAAUGCCAGGAGCCCCCCAAGGAAAAAGUCCCCACAAAUUUCCAACACACUCCCGCUGUGGAGCAGAAUGACCUCCUUGAGAAUCUGUCACCACUCAUCUGCGUUUACUGACAUGGAAAAAAGUCCACGAUGUGUAGUUCAGUACAAUGUACGGUUAAGUCAAAAUCUUCAGGGUCAGCAGCUACAACAUGAUUCCAUUCUUGAAAAAGGAAUAAGCUAAAGAAGGAAGGACUCCGUGAAAGAACAAUGUGUGUGUGUGCACGUGUGUGUGUGUCCACAGAGGAAUAAGUCUGGACAUAUAGACACAAACCCAUUAACCAGCAUUGUCUCUGGGGAUGAGAUUUCAGAUAAUUUGCAUGUUCUAAUGUCUAUUUGUCGGAAUGGACUGAUUUUUUUAAAAAAAUUAUGAUAUACAAUCAGAAAAAAGCAACUAUUUUCAUUUGGCAAACAAAUAACAGAAGGCAGUUUUCUGCUGGGGAAUUCUCUGCUGUCCUGUGUGCUGUGGAAUGUCAGCAGCCUGGCCUUGUCCCCCCAGAGGCCGGGAGCACACACCCCGGGCACAGAUGUGAACCAAGGGCAUCUCCAGACACAGACAGAGGGGCGAUGGCACUGUGGUCUGUGGUCUGGGAGGUCGGGAAGCCUUCCUGAGGAGGUGACAAAGCACUGAGAUGUGAAGACGGUAGGAGCGAACUAAAUGAAGAGAGGGUGGAAGGGUGUCCUGGGCAGAGGGAACAGCAUGGACAAAGCCACGUGGCAGGGAGGAGCUGGUGGGAACGAGCUACCAAAGGAAACAAAGCUUUCACGGGGAAAUAGCAAAUAGUACCCCCUUGGAUAAAGGAAGAGGGUGACAUCAGGACACGUCUGCCUCACAUGGGGCUUCAGGGAUGCUCCAGAGGUGUACUGUGAACCAUGCCUCCUGACACACAGUCUAAUAUGACACGUGUUAUUGAAUUUUGCAAUAGGAAAUGUAAAGCCCAUGCGGUUUUAUUAAGACAUUUCUAUCAAUUUUCCUUUGACUUGCCCUUCCAAAUAAUAAACCGAAUGUUGCUUCGCUUAAUUUUCAAGUUGAUGAAGCUUCCUUUCCUAUUGCCAAUUUAAGUCACUUAAAGUGAUUUUUUAUUAAUCUCGGAUAGAGAGUUUUGCCUUUCUUAAUUGAAAAUAUUUUUGAACCAGUAGAAUACGGCAUGAAAUUAUUCAGGAAAUCUCAGGCCCUAGAGUCAAGGAAAUCUUUUUUCUUUUUAAAAAUCCCAGCUUUCAAAGAAUUUUCUCCAAACCCUUUUUUGUUUUUUUAACAUCUUUAUUGGAGUGUAAUUGCCUUACAAUGUUGUGUUAGUUUCUGCUUUAUAACAAAGUGAAUCAGUUAUACAUAUGUUUCCAUAUCUCUUCCCUCUUGCAUCUCCCUCCCUCCCACCCUCUCUAUCCCACCCCUCUAGGUGGUCACAAAGCACCGAGCUGAUCUCCCUGUGCUAUGCGGCUGCUUCCCACUAGCUAUCUAUCUCACGUUUGGUAGUGUAUAUAUGUCCAUGCCACUCUUUCACUUUGUCCCAGCUUACCCUUCCCCCUCCCCGUGUCCUCAAGUCCGUUCUCUACGUCUGUGUCUUUAUUCCUGUCCUGCCCCUAGGUUCAUCAGAACCUUUUUUUUUUUUAGAUUCCAUAUAUAUGUGUUAGCAUACGGUAUUUGUUUUACUCUUUCUGACUUACUUCACUCUGUAUGACAGACUCUCAGUCCAUCCACCUCACUACAAAUAACUCAAUUUCGUUUCUUUUUAUGGCUGAGUAAUAUUCCACCAAACUCUUAAAACAAUCUUACUGAAAAGAGUUACUGAAUGCUCAGCUGGCUACCAAUGACUUAUCUCCACUAACUAAACAUAAAAACAUGUCUGGCUUCUUUGCGUCAAUGUGUGUAAUUCCAAUAAUCAUCAUACUCUAUAUUUAUACAGAUUUCUGUCUUAUUUAUACUUCCCAACAGCCUACAACUGGUGGGUGGGGGGGGGGAGAUGAUCUCUGGGAAUGAUAAAAUAAGAUUGCCCUCUUGUGGGACUUCCCAGGUGGCACAGUGGUUAAGAAUCCGCCUGCCAAUGCAGGGGACACGGGCUUGAGCCCUGGUCUGGGAAAAAUCCCACAUGCCAGGGAGCAACUAAGCCUGUGCGCCACAACUACUGAGCCCGCGAGCCACAACUACUGAAGCCUGCGAGCCACAACUACUGAAGCCCGCGCACCUAGAGCCUGAGCUCCACAACAAGAGAAGCCACCACAACGAGAAGCCCGCGCACCGCAACGAAGAGUAGCCCCCGCUCGCCGCAACUAGAGAAAGCCCGUGUGCAGCAACGAAGACCCAACGCAGCCAAAAAUAAAUAAAU